GGCUAUUUCAGGAACUAAUAUUUCUUGUGAAAAAAACAUUUAUCUGAUGUUCAGAAAUUCCAUGUCAAUUCCUUGAGUUUCCUAUUAUCCUAGUAAAACUUUCAGUUAAAUUAAAUUUACUACAUUUUAGCUAAAAUGCUACAUAUGGUAUGAUUCGAUCCUGGUGAAAUUAUUUCUCUCUCUAUCUCUUUGUGCCCAUCCAUCUACUCCUCUCUACCCAUAUACACACAAAGACAUGACCAAAAUGGUUACCACAGAUUUUUAAUGAUGAUUCCUUUCGGGUAAUAUGAAUAGGGUGAUUUUUUCCUCAAUCAAAUUUUUUAUUUUACAAGCUGGGUGCAGUGGUGCAGGUCCAUAAUCCCAGCUACUUGGAAGGCGGAGGCUGGAGGAUUGUCUGAGCCCAGGAGUCCAAGACCAGCAUAGCCAACAUACCAAGACCCCAUCUCAAAAGGAAAUCUUUAAAACUAGCUAUUUACAUGUAAAUACAAAAGGUAAUUAAUUUUAAAAACUGAAUAGCAAGCACAAACUCAGCUGGGUAAGUAAAGAACAAUAUGUGACAUCUCCAGGAAAAGGUAAAUGGAAUAGUCCCGUGGUCAUGAUCUGGUUCCAGCUUCCCUAAGGAUUUGCACGAGCCCUUUGGGGGAGGUCAGUGGUCAAGGUCAUGACUGAGUCUUGGAGAACCUGGGGCUUCCCAUACUAGGGGGAUCUGGUGGCACUGAAGUUUGGGCCAAGGACUAGCAUGUAGCCAGGACACUGUAUGGUGCAGGGUGGGGGAAGGAAGAGAGGGUGGUCUAUUUUGUUUCUGAACUCUCUAUGGACAAUUUCCAGUUCAUGUCCUCAGCUACUAUGCAUGUGAGCUUUCAGAACAGUAAGAAGCAUCUACUAGAAACCAAAUAGGAUCUCAGAAAACAAUACUGUCUAACUACCAAGGUUAUUUUGUGAUGGGCCAGAAGAAUCAGUAUGUUCUGAUAUCAGGAAGGCAUGCAGCAGAGCUUCUCUCACAGACCUGUGGAUAAUUUAGAGAACUCUCAAUGAAGGGUAGUCAGGGAGGCUGCAAUAGCACCCAGUGUUGACGCUGUCCUCAUCAGCAUUCCCACUGACAAUUUGGAUGAGGACAUGGACAGCAUGCUGAUCAAACCUGAGAGGACAGAUGUCACAGUCCAUCUUAAGAGAUUCUUCAGGCAAAGACUUUGGAGCUUUAGUUGGCUUGUCUCCAUAUUAACCAAUCGUGUGAUAUUGCUCCAACAAGUCAUUGCUUGGAGAUCCCCACACUGUUCUCACUUGGGCUUUGUGGAACAUAUUGUUUCUUCUGCUAGCUAUCCUUCACCUUCUUUAUUAAGGUAUGGCUUUCUCAAAACUCAGGUGUCAUCCUCGAUGUCAGAAAAGCUGCCACUUCCCCAACUACACCUCUGUGCCUUCUAAACAAUUAGUUCAAACCUACCAUAACUUUUACCAAAGUGCUGUAUAAACAUGUAUCUUCUUUGUCUGUCUUUGCAACUAAACCCUAAGCUCCUGUUCUGAGCCCUCUGUAUCCCCAUCACUGAGAAGACUGCCCAGACAUAAAUGCUUGAUAAAUAGAAGAAUGGAUGAAGUACAAUGGACUUUCCAGCUAGAGCAGCAAAACCUAGGGACAAAUAAAUGGACAAAGAUCUGUGACUAUAUCCUCUCUAGAUCCAACCUCUGAAUGUUCAGUAACCUCAGCACUAAUUUAAAGCUUAGGGAACCCAGGAUUGCAGAUGCUUCUGCGUUUUCUAAGCAGAACUCAAGCUCAUAAGCUCAGUUUGCUCACUGGUGAAGUGGGCAGAUUGGACUGACAGCUCUAGCUUACAGCUCUGCAACUGCCAUCUUGAAAUUAUUAGUUUUUGAAAAAGGAGCCCCACAUGGUCCUUUUGCACUGGGGCCUGCAAAUUAUGUAGCUAGUUCUGUUCACCUAUGAGUGUAAAAGAAUCCAUUUUAUUUUUAUUAUAAGCAAAAACCAUUUAAUAAAUAUUCAAACCUAUGGCAACUUGCAUUCUCAUCUUCACAAUUCAUUGAACAAAUACAGGUCCAUGUUUUGCAUAGUUGUCAUCAGAAAAUACAUACUAUUUAGCCCCUUUGCCACUUAUUAUUUUGCAUGUACGCAUUUGUCCAUGCCUUGAUGUAGUUCCCAUAUUUGUCAUUCUUAAUCGCUCUAUCACGUUCUAGAGUGCAAAUAGACCAUGAGUUUUAAACCAAACCCCAAUGGUUGGGCAUCUGGGUUGCUUCCAAUUUUUAAAAAUAGCAUUUCUAAGAACAACUAAAUACAAAUUACUUUCUUUUUUCUCUUUUGGGGAAUUUCCUUGGAGUAUAUUCUCAGAAGUGGAAUUCUCAGGUCAAAAGGCCAUACCAUAAUCCCAGGGUGGGCACUAUUGCUUGUGCACAUUUUACCAGUGAGAAAACCGGGAUCUGAAAGAUGACAUCACCAAAGAGCCCAUGUGUGGCCUACUUCAGACAGGCAUUUCGCAGCACAGCCACGAAGCCAAUCCUGCCGUGAGAACUCCCGCUCUUCCCCGCUGAUGAGGAUGACCAUGGUAACGAGAUGAAGACGAACAUGACAAAACUGGUAAAGAUAAGGUAGAUGCCUUAUAUCUGUAUCUUCUAUCAUUUGCAAUGCCCUUCCACGGGCGGACUCUCAUUUUAACUUUGGAACAACUCCAUGAGGUCCCUGCGAUCCUUAUCAGCCUCUGGUUUUUAGAAGAGGAAAGUGAGCUUCAGAAGUGAAGUGACUUUAUCUAAUGACACAAAACAAUCAUAUGACUGGGGCAGGAUUGAGGAUAUCUUCCGAUGGCAAUUUCAAGCUGGAAUUUCAGAAAAAGGAGGCCGAUUAGUUCCCUUUUCUCACUGGGGUCCAGAUCUGGAAAACACUGUCUAGAUGUGUGGACGGAUGGAUGCUCAAGUACUGCUACUCUGACCAGUUAUUUUGGAGAUGGUUGAAAGGUGAGGUGAGACAACAACCUCUCUCUACUGUCGCAUCAUGAGGUCCUAUUGAAAAAAAGAACUUUUCUUUGGUUCUAAACCUAUAUGCAGACCACGGGGAAGGAGCUCUCACACAUACAUGUACACUCUGCAUGCUGACCUGUGGAGAGGAGGCAUCUAGCCUCUUAUUCUUGUCUCCAUCACCACUGCUAAGGAUGUCUACCCAUUAUCCCAAAGACAGGGCUCUCCCAGGUAUACUGCUUGCCCCAUGUGAAAGGAAAAUAAAUCUUGGGCCCCCAAAAUUACUAAGCUAAAAGGAAAAAAUCAAGAUGGGAACCGCUUAGGGCAAACUUGCGCCCCAUUCUAUUCAAAGUCAUCCCCCUUCUCACUGAGAUAAAUGCAUAUCUGAUUGCUUCCUUUGAAAAGGCUGAUC